AGUGAACGCUGGCGGUAGGCCUAACACAUGCAAGUCGAACGGCAGCACAGUAAGAGCUUGCUCUUACGGGUGGCGAGUGGCGGACGGGUGAGCAAUACAUCGGAAUCUACUUUUUCGUGGGGGAUAACGUAGGGAAACUUACGCUAAUACCGCAUACGACCUACGGGUGAAAGCAGGGGAUCUUCGGACCUUGCGCGAUUGAAUGAGCCGAUGUCGGAUUAGCUAGUUGGCGGGGUAAAGGCCCACCAAGGCGACGAUCCGUAGCUGGUCUGAGAGGAUGAUCAGCCACACUGGAACUGAGACACGGUCCAGACUCCUACGGGAGGCAGCAGUGGGGAAUAUUGGACAAUGGGCGCAAGCCUGAUCCAGCCAUACCGCGUGGGUGAAGAAGGCCUUCGGGUUGUAAAGCCCUUUUGUUGGGAAAGAAAAGCAGCAGGUUAAUACCCCGCUGUUCUGACGGUACUCAAAGAAUAAGCACCGGCUAACUUCGUG
rnacentral:rRNA from 1 species